GAAGGUUUAGCUUAGUGGUAGAGUGCAUGCUUAGCAUGUGCAAAGUCCUAGGUUCAAUCCCCAGUACCUCCA
rnacentral:tRNA from 1 species